GCAGAGUAGCUGCAGGCGCGCCAAGUGUCCAUGGACGGGGAGUUGCCAUGGGACGAAGCCGGGACCCCCGGCGCGGUGCCUGCCGCGCAUCCCGCUGC
rnacentral:ncRNA from 1 species